GGUCUAUUAUUUAUUUAGGAAUCUAUAUGAAUUUGUACACGUGUAUUAUUUUUCAUGUUUGCCUUUAAUAUGUGUCUUUUUAGCAGUGGCUGUCGUUGUAUAUGUCUUAUUCUUCAGGAAGAAGCACCCUGCACUCCCUAAAGGCCGUGAGCUAAAUCAAGUGCUCAGGUACCAACCCAACGGCACCCCAGUCCUCGACCUGCACGGCAUGGGACGGCGGCAAGCUCUGGAUUGGAUGAAUUACUGCUUUAGGCAAUGUGGACACGGCCUCACGCGAAUAAUCACUGGACGAGGCCUGCACAGUCCCGGUGGCAGGCCGGUGCUCAGGGAGGCCGCCAUGGACUACUUAAAGAAAAAGGGAUAUCAAUUCAAUUUUGUUCGUGAUAAUACAGGGUUUCUUGAGGUUAGGCCAGGCAGGAACUGAGUUUGAUAAUGGGGUGGUAAGUAUUAUGUAUGUUAUUUGAAGGCCUUUUUUAGCAUCCAGAAAAUCCAGACACUUUACAUGCUACAUAUUUUAUGUUGUAUCAUAGUAUCAUAAAACGUUUUGAAAAGGA